UACCGUUGGUAUGCGCGACGACUGACGUC
rnacentral:sRNA from 1 species